UGGGGAAUAUUGCACAAUGGGGGAAACCCUGAUGCAGCGACGCCGCGUGAGCGAAGAAGGUUUUCGAAUCGUAAAGCUCUGUCCUAUGAGAAGAUAAUGACGGUAUCAUAGGAGGAAGCCCCGGCUAAAUACGUGCCAGCAGCCGCGGUAAUACGUAUGGGGCGAGCGUUGUCCGGAAUUAUUGGGCGUAAAGGGUACGUAGGCGGUCUAUUAAGUCAGGUGUGAAAGCGUGAGGCUUAACCUCAUUAAGCACUUGAAACUGAUAGACUUGAGUGAAGGAGAGGAAAGUGGAAUUCCUAGUGUAGCGGUGAAAUGCGUAGAUAUUAGGGGGAAUACCGGUGGCGAAGGCGACUUUCUGGACUUUUACUGACGCUCAGGUACGAAAGCGUGGGGAGCAAACAGG
rnacentral:rRNA from 1 species